rnacentral:rRNA from 1 species
GAUCCUGGCUCAGGACGAACGCUGGCGGCGUGCCUAACACAUGCAAGUCGAGCGGAGACAGUGAGUAGCUUGCUAUGAACUGUUUUAGCGGCGGACGGGUGAGUAACGCGUGAGCAACCUUUCCCAGACAGGGGAAUAACACACCGAAAGGUGUACUAAUACCGCAUAAGACCACGGUUUCACAUGGAACUGAGGUAAAAGAUUUAUCGGUUUGGGGUGGGCUAGCGUCCGAUUAGGUAGUUGGUGAGGUAACGGCCC